rnacentral:lncRNA from 1 species
UCACAAGCAAAAAAACAUGGAGGAGUUAACUCGAAAGGGGACGAGAAACAUUGCUAUUAGACGGCGAGGAACAAUAUCUGGAGAUGAUUAUGAUUGACUUACUUUGGUCCCUCAGUGUUGUUGCUAACCAUAUUCACUGGUAUGUUAAUGUAUUACUAUUGUACAUGAAAAUAGCAGACACUCUUGAGCAAAACAUUACUUAUGUGGAAGGGGUCAUGAGUGAGUGCUGCUGGUUUUUAGAAUUAAAAAUAUGAUUUUCUUA